GUGACCUGAGGUGACCUCAGCGGUCCCCUUCACCUCGAGAGCGCAGCCCCAACCGGCCUCCCCCACGCAUACCCCCCUCUCAAGGAACGGGAUGCCUCCCGGCACCAUAACCGGCAGAAAAAGGGAUUUUCUCCCUCUCCCUGUUGGAAUCCGCUUCUCAAAGUGACUUUGAGAUCUGUCGUUGAUCUCAAGAGGCCCUUCCUAAGGGGAGUGGGGGGUAAUUGGGGAAUCCGAGAGAGGGGACACCCCGAGAGACGGGGAGCCACCCCGGAAGACGGGGAGCCGCCCCGAAUCGUCUCCUUGGCCUGGGUCGGGGAGGGACUCUUUUUCCGGUGGCAGUGGAGGAAUCGUCCCGUUGAGCCAUGCCCCGGGUGACGCGGUCCAGGGUUAUAAAAGCAAAAGUUGUGGCCCAUCCAGCAGGAGUUAGAGACAGGGAGGGCCGGGGCCCUGGGCUUAGUUGUCGGGGAGGAGGUGGCCAGUUUAGGGUUUCAGGGGACAGAUGGGGGAGAUGGCAGAAUUAGAUGAGGCUGGCGGGCCGGGGGUGCCAGGAGAAGGAAUGUUAAAAGGGAGACAAGAUUUUGGGGAAAGUAUGCUGGGGAGAGCUGCGUCCGAAGUGCCCGCAGUAACCCACGGGGAGGAUAACACCCCAGGCCUGGCUGUCUCAGCUGCCUGCUGGAGAAGGGGAACUUGACCUCUGGGAGGGCGCCGCUCCUGCGUGGGCUGGGCGGCCCCCAGUACCCUGUUUUGUGUGGAGUAAGGUGGGGAGACGGCAGGAGGCUGAGGGUCUUGCCACCCUUGCUGGAGGCGGAAUCGGGCAGGCGAUGCCAUGAGAAUGAGUAGAAAGGAAGGGAGUGGGGCGCAGGUGGGCAGGGAGGUCAGAACUUGAACUUUGUCAAUACCAGCAGCCCUCUUUUUUUCCAGACAAAGGGUUGUGAACCCGCCUGGGGAUGAGGCCUGGUGUUGUGGAAACUGAACUUAGCUUCGCGGGGCUGACAGCUUUGGUCCAGGGUGGUAUGUAAUUCUGGCUCGUCCUGGGUCCGGGAUCCAGCCAGGCCCAGCCUGGUGGAAUCCAGGCUUGGGUGUGAGGGUGGCCUAGGGAGUGACUGAGGACAUCAGGUGCUAUUCUGAGCCGUUACUGGUGUGGGGCCUCGUGUGUCUGACAGGCAGGGGCCGUAGGCGGACAAAAUUGACCCCCGCUUUAUUUUCCAGGUGGCAGUGCUCCCCUUUGGAUUUUUCCUCUAGGUUCCGUGCUAACCUCUUCUGUGAGCUCACUCUGCCCCUCCUCCUCCCUUUAACUCUCUCGAGGGUAUCCCUUCACUUAACGUUGCUUCUGUGUACAUCAUGGCGAUCUGAUGGCACCAGGAGAAAUGGAGCCCCUGGCCAGUGUGAGUCCUAGCAGUGAGGAGGGGAGACCCUGGAGGAGACAACCCGCCUAAGUUGAUGUCUACAGAUUGAAUUUCCAGAGGCUUAGGAGGAGGAAGUUCUCCAAUGUCCUGUUUCCAGGCCUUGCUCAGGAAGCCCUGUAUUCAGGAGGCCAUCCUUUAAGGUUUUCAGAUGAGCAUAUGAGGGGGCAAUCUUUAAAAGUCCAAAGCAGAUGCCUCCGGGGCCAUCAGCAGAUGUGUUGCUUUGAGUGUUUGAUCCGGGAGCCACGAUCUCUGGGCACGUGAAAGACAGCAGGCACGUCUUCAGUUCUGGGGUGGAGGUUUUCAGAUGCUGCAUCUUCUAAAUUGAGCCUCCUGUUGUACUAGUUCUGUGCUACGAACUUUACUUCCAGAAGACUCUUAAGCUGUAGAACAUUUUAACGCUGAUGCCACAACCCAGAGUGAUGCCUGUAGAUGGAGCUUGCAGAUGAAUCCCAGUGACCCUCUCAUCUGCCCGCCCGCCUGCCCGCCUGUGUGUUGGUCGGAGGAAUUCUUAGUGUGAUGAUAUAAUCUGUGUGUUGGUUAAGUGUUGAAAAUUGAAAUGUCUUAGGCAAAUACUUACACGAAGCCAACUGGCGAAUUGAGGGGUCAUUGUACUGUGCUACCGACUGGGAGGUACAAGAUGGUCAUGCCCAAAUUGUGAUAGGAAUGGUAGGUCUAGUUUGGGCAUUCUUGCCAAGAGAAGGGAAUGGUCAGGGUACCAGUAGUGAUCUUUGAUUCAUUUUGCUCUAUGAGCUUUUUAACUUGAAUUUUACGUGAGUAGAUUUCAGAGUAAUCUUAGCGUUCAAACGUGAGGACCCUGAGGUGUGAGGGGUGGUGGGGAGGGAACAGCCUGGCGUUGGAGCUGGGAGGGAUGGGGGGGUGAAGAGAGAGAGGGUUGUGGUUAGGUGUGGGUUGUAGAGGGUGGGAGUGGUAGGGAGUUUGAGUUGAAGGGAAUUCUGGAGAAAAGAUCAGUAGGCAGAGCUCUGGGGAAUUAUAUAGAGCUCAUGGGUGAAGCAAAUACUACUUAAUACUGUUAAUGCUAGUUAAAUUGUUGCUUGGAAGCACACAGAGUUGCUUGAAAACUUUCUGAAAUGCUUAGAACUCUGCUAAGUGCAAGGGAAAAGCAAAAUUGUUUUGCUUCAAUAUGGGGAAGACUGAAAAGGUAAUCAAAAACCUGAUUAUCAGUUGCUUGAAAGAUUGGUGUUGGCAACUUGCUCCAGCAGAUUUACACCCUUCACUGUUUUGCAAGCUUCUUAAGUGGUUUAUCUGAAGGUGUGCCAUAUUCAGGAGCAGUCUUAGAAAAGACUUUAAGUAUCCAAAUUGUGGGCUUUUAAAGUAUUUAAGUUUGAGGUUUUGGAGUGCACUUAAGAUGGUUAGAUGUACUCUUCCGGGUUUGUAACAUUUUCAUUCACUGAGGUUUUGCAGUUAAACUUGAGCAAAGUGAAGAUGCAAUGGUUUCUAAAGGAAUUUUGUAUGUUACUUCCCGCUUUAUUAACACAUCUCAUCUUUUCUUUAUGAUGAGUAUUAGUAACAGCAAGAGUUUUUACUUUUCACCCUCGUAACAAGAACCUAAUGAUUUUUUGAAAUCACUGUAAACUUUCUGUAAUACUUGGGAGCAAACCGUCCGUGUACCCUUGCUGAGGUUACAGUUAGUCAUCCUCUGUAUCUUUAGUUUGAAUGUUUGUGUUUAAGUGAUACAGUACCAGAGGGGAAACUCAACUAAAAUCAGUUUGGGAAAUAAGCAAAACUGGGGAUGGGGAGGUGCUUUAUUAGGUUAUGGUCUGUCUGUAAAAAUUCAGGGCAAGAUCUGAACCCUUAAAGUAGUACCAAUGGCUUUUUAAUCAUGUUCUUCUUCCUGUUGAAUUUCACUUUGAGAAUUUUAAAUCCCCAAUACUUACGACAUUUGGGAUCUUUCUGGGUUCUCUUUUUAGUGUUUAAAAAAUACGACAUGAUGGUUCAGUUCUUAACCUGUGACUUGGGCGUGGUACAGUUACUGUCAUUGGAAUUUAAAGACUACUAGUCAUGCAUGUAUGGGGAAAUAUGUUCGGGUAAGCUGUUGUGAAAUUGAAACUGUAAAAGUAGGCGGAAAAAGUACUUUUAUGUUUCUCUGUAUGGUGAGAACCCGUCCUGUUGCAUCAUGUAUGACUAAUCAGUUUUCUUCCCCUUUACAGCACAAAUAAAGGUUUGAGUUCUAAACACA